AGGUCUGUAGCUCAGUGGAAGAGCAUCUGCUUUAGAUGCAGAAGGUCUCAGGUUCAGUAUUUGGUAUCUCCAGGCAGGUCUG